rnacentral:rRNA from 1 species
GUAAGGAAUAUUGCUCAAUGGGAGAAAUCCUGAAGCAGCAACGCCGCGUGGAGGAUGAAGGGUCUAUGACUUGUAAACUCCUGUAAAGAAGGAAAAAAUUCCCAUUAGAUGGGAGAUGAUGGUACUUCUGGAGUAAGCCCCGGCUAACUACGUGCCAGCAGCCGCGGUAAUACGUAGGGGGCAAGCGUUGUCCGGAGUUACUGGGUGUAAAGGGUGCUCAGGCGGAUUUGUAAGUCAGAGGUGAAACCUUACAGCUUAACUGUGAAACUGCCUUUGAUACUGCAAGCCUAGAGUAUGGAAGAGAGUGAUGGAAUAUCUGGUGUAGCAGUGAAAUGCGUAGAUAUCAGAUAGAACACCAAUGGCGAAGGCAGUCACUUGGUCCAUUACUGACGCUAAAGCACGAAAGCGUGGGUAGCAAACA